GACGGGGCCCGCACAAGCGGCGGAGCAUGCGGAUUAAUUCGAUGCAACGCGAAGAACCUUACCAAGGCUUGACAUACACCGGUAGCGCCCAGAGAUGGGUGCCCCUUUGUGGUCGGUGGACAGGUGGUGCAUGGUUGUCGUCAGCUCGUGUCGUGAGAUGUUGGGUUAAGUCCCGCAACGAGCGCAACCCUCGUCCUAUGUUGCCAGCGGGUCAUGCCGGGGACUCAUGGGAGACUGCCGGGGUCAACUCGGAGGAAGGUGGGGAUGACGUCAAAUCAUCAUGCCCCUUAUGUCUUGGGCUUCACGCAUGCUACAAUGGCCGGUACAAAGGGCUGCGAUACCGCGAGGUGGAGCGAAUCCCAGAAAGCCGGUCUCAGUUCGGAUUGGGGUCUGCAACUCGACCCCAUGAAGUCGGAGUCGCUAGUAAUCGCAGAUCAGCAACGCUGCGGUGAAUACGUUCCCGGGCCUU
rnacentral:rRNA from 1 species